rnacentral:rRNA from 1 species
UAGGGAAUCUUCGGCAAUGGGGGUAACCCUGACCGAGCAACGCUGCGUGAGUGAAGAAGGUUAUCGGAUCGUAAAGCUCUGUUGUUAAGGAAGAACGUGUGUGAGAAUGGACAGUUCAUGCUGUGACGGUACUUAACUAGAAAUGGACGGCUAACUACGUGCCAGCAGCCGCGGUAAUACGUAGGUCCCGUGCGUUGUCCGGAUUUAUUGGGCGUAAAGCGAGCGCAGGCGGUUAGAUAAGUCUGAAGUUAAAGGCAUUGGGUCAACUAUUGUAGGCUUUGGAAGCUGUUUAACUUGAGUGCAGAAGAGGAGAGUGGAAUUCUAUGUGUAGAGGUGGAAGGCGUAGAUAGAUGGUGGAACACCGGUGGCGAAAGCGGCUCUCUGGUCUGUAACUGACGCUGAGGCUAGAAAGCGUGGGGAGCGAACAGG